CCUUUUUUCAGGAGUGUUCAAGCCAUUCACAUUGAGGGACACAAUUUUCAAAUUAUCCGCCAUCAUACAUAUCAAGAAACGGAGGAGUCCCCGUCGGAUUCCGGAUCAGAGUCUCUCCCUCCCGCCUCUGCCGCGCUAGGCCUUUGUGCGCAUCGCUCGUCUCCAUCGUCUGAGGGUGUCAAGAAUUUUUUUAGGAGUUUCUGCGACUCGGUCUGCAGCGGAGCUCCAGCGCUACGCGUCCAUCUUGGUUGGCAGUUGGCC